rnacentral:rRNA from 1 species
AUACGGAGGGUGCAAGCGUUAAUCGGAAUUACUGGGCGUAAAGCGUGCGUAGGUGGUUUGUUAAGUUAGAUGUGAAUGCCCCGGGCUCAACCUGGGAACUGCAUUUGAAACUGGCAUACUAGAGUAUAGGAGAGGAAAGUGGAAUUUCAGGUGUAGCGGUGAAAUGCGUAGAUAUCUGAAGGAACAUCAAUGGCGAAGGCAGCUUUCUGGACUAAUACUGACACUGAGGUACGAAAGCGUGGGUAGCAAACAGGAUUAGAAACCCUAGUAGUCC